rnacentral:rRNA from 1 species
GAGUUUGAUCAUGGCUCAGAUUGAACGCUGGCGGCAGGCCUAACACAUGCAAGUCGAACGGUAACAGGAAACAGCUUGCUGUUUCGCUGACGAGUGGCGGACGGGUGAGUAAUGUCUGGGAAACUGCCUGAUGGAGGGGGAUAACUACUGGAAACGGUAGCUAAUACCGCAUAACGUCGCAAGACCAAAGAGGGGGACCUUCGGGCCUCUUGCCAUCGGAUGUGCCCAGAUGGGAUUAGCUAGUAGGUGGGGUAACGGCUCACCUAGGCGACGAUCCCUAGCUGGUCUGAGAGGAUGACCAGCCACACUGGAACUGAGACACGGUCCAGACUCCUACGGGAGGCAGCAGUGGGGAAUAUUGCACAAUGGGCGCAAGCCUGAUGCAGCCAUGCCGCGUGUAUGAAGAAGGCCGUUCGGGUUGUAAAGUACUUUCAGCGGGGAGGAAGGGAGUAAAGUUAAUACCUUUGCUCAUUGACGUUACCCGCAGAAGAAGCACCGGCUAACUCCGUGCCAGCAGCCGCGGUAAUACGGAGGGUGCAAGCGUUAAUCGGAAUUACUGGGCGUAAAGCGCACGCAGGCGGUUUGUUAAGUCAGAUGUGAAAUCCCCGGGCUCAACCUGGGAACUGCAUCUGAUACUGGCAAGCUUGAGUCUCGUAGAGGGGGGUAGAAUUCCAGGUGUAGCGGUGAAAUGCGUAGAGAUCUGGAGGAAUACCGGUGGCGAAGGCGGCCCCCUGGACGAAGACUGACGCUCAGGUGCGAAAGCGUGGGGAGCAAACAGGAUUAGAUACCCUGGUAGUCCACGCCAUAAACGAUGUCGACUUGGAGGUUGUGCCCUUGAGGCGUGGCUUCCGGAGCUAACGCGUUAAGUCGACCGCCUGGGGAGUACGGCCGCAAGGUUAAAACUCAAAUGAAUUGACGGGGGCCCGCACAAGCGGUGGAGCAUGUGGUUUAAUUCGAUGCAACGCGAAGAACCUUACCUGGUCUUGACAUCCACAGAACUUUCCAGAGAUGGAUUGGUGCCUUCGGGAACUGUGAGACAGGUGCUGCAUGGCUGUCGUCAGCUCGUGUUGUGAAAUGUUGGGUUAAGUCCCGCAACGAGCGCAACCCUUAUCCUUUGUUGCCAGCGGUCCGGCCGGGAACUCAAAGGAGACUGCCAGUGAUAAACUGGAGGAAGGUGGGGAUGACGUCAAGUCAUCAUGGCCCUUACGACCAGGGCUACACACGUGCUACAAUGGCGCAUACAAAGAGAAGCGACCUCGCGAGAGCAAGCGGACCUCAUAAAGUGCGUCGUAGUCCGGAUUGGAGUCUGCAACUCGACUCCAUGAAGUCGGAAUCGCUAGUAAUCGUGGAUCAGAAUGCCACGGUGAAUACGUUCCCGGGCCUUGUACACACCGCCCGUCACACCAUGGGAGUGGGUUGCAAAAGAAGUAGGUAGCUUAACCUUCGGGAGGGCGCUUACCACUUUGUGAUUCAUGACUGGGGUGAAGUCGUAACAAGGUAACCGUAGGGGAACCUGCGGUUGGAUCACC